GGGAUUGUGGCUCAGUGGCAGAGCACUUGCCUAGUACGAGUGAGGCACUGGGUUCAAUUCCCAGCACCA
rfam:Ictidomys tridecemlineatus contig006993, whole genome shotgun sequence.